UACAACUUUCAACAACGGAUCUCUUGGCUCUCGCAUCGAUGAAGAACGCAGCGAAAUGCGAUAAGUAAUGUGAAUUGCAGAUUUUCAGUGAAUCAUCGAAUCUUUGAACGCACCUUGCGCUCCUUGGUAUUCCGAGGAGCAUGCCUGUUUGAGUGUCAUU
rnacentral:rRNA from 2 species